rnacentral:rRNA from 1 species
AUUGAACGCUGGCGGCAUGCCUUACACAUGCAAGUCGAACGAAGUCUUCGGACUUAGUGGCGCACGGGUGAGUAACACGUGGGAAUAUACCUUACGCUGGGGGAUAACAUCGGGAAACUGAUGCUAAUACCGCAUACGCCCUUCGGGGGAAAGAUUUAUCGGCGAAAGAUUAGCCCGCGUCCGAUUAGCUAGUUGGUGAGGUAAUGGCUCACCAAGGCUCCGAUCGGUAGCUGGUCUGAGAGGAUGACCAGCCACACUGGGACUGAGACACGGCCCAGACUCCUACGGGAGGCAGCAGUGGGGAAUCUUCCACAAUGGACGAAAGUCUGAUGGAGCAACGCCGCGUGAGCGAUGAAGGCCUUCGGGUUGUAAACCUCUUUUAGCAGGGAAGAAGCGAAAGUGACGGUACCUGCAGAAAAAGCACCGGCUAACUACGUGCCAGCCGCCGCCGUAAGAC